CAUUAUUUAAUAUCAAUCCUUGCUCAAUGACAAAAACAUACUUAAUUUUGUAAUAUAGGAAAAAAUAGAGUUUCUGUCAUAUACUGUAUGAUACUAAUAGGAAUUUGAAGUUUUUAGUAGGCAUGAUUUAAGAUUUUUGUUUCUAUUCAUGAUUUUCUAUAAAUGGGGUGCCCAAAAAAUAUGUUAUGAAUUUAGUUGAGAUAUGUUAUGAAUUUAUGAUAUCAUGUGUUACCACAACAGUAUAAAAAACAAUUAUGGUGGGCUCUAUUUUACAAAUACUAUAUAAAUAUACAAUAAUAUAACUUUAUACUCUAUUUUACAAAUACUAUAUAAAUAUACAAUAACAUAACUUUAUUUAUGAGAAUAAAUACAGCUAUAUCAGGAACAACAAGAGAGUGGAGUAGCAAGACUAUGAGCAGUGUUACAUUUCAAACAGAUUGAUUUCCAAGCCCGAGGAUUUUCAGAUUCAUAGUUUAUAUUGAUAGCAGUAAUGUAAUAUCUGUAUCACAUACAAUUGUAAAAUUUGUAAUGUCUCUCCGGGAGCAGGGGGUUAGACACGAAAAUGAACGAAUUAUAUAUUAUUAUUAUUAUUUAUUAUUAUUAUCAUAUUCAUUUAUAAGAGCUUUUGUUGGGCAUAUAGACAGGGGGAACUCGUAUACAGGGGGGGGGGGGUUAUUCAAAUGUUACAUAUCAAAAUCUAAGUUAGCCCUUUAGAAAUACAAUAAAACCUAUUUGAGUGUAAUAGCUUUUGUAGUUUUUAUGUUACAUUAAAUCAAACAGCACAAGUUUUUUGGGACACCCGGGAUACAUUCCUACCAGUCUUCCUUUGUGAAGCGAUGACUGGGCUAAGAAUAUUUCAAUAUGUCAUUGCUGUUGAAAUGACUUAAUUCAUCACUAAUAAUACUAAAGCUUGUGUUGCUGAUAAUAUACCAUCCAGCGUCUAUUUUUGACAAAAUUCUUGAACAAAGCAUAUUUCAAUGUUUGCAAUGUGACCAUUGCAUAUGGCUGUCAAAAAAGUCAAGAUUUAGAUUAUUGUUUUGUAAAACAUUGUGCGACUCGCGCCCAAGUAUUGUUGUGGAUUUUAGAACUCUUUUUAUGCUUUAACCCAUUGAGUGGCAGCACUGUCCACUUGACAAGUAAAAUCCUGUGGUGUUAGACAGAGUAAAAUACUAAAGUAGGGUGCAUCAGGGUGUAAUGCAACUUAAAGGGUUAACCAAAACAAAGUUCAUACAUUUUGUUUGAAAAAAGAUUUUUACACAGUAUCGUGCCUGUUCGUGUUUUGAAGUUCCUUGUUACACCUGAUACUGCAUGUACAUAUAUAUACAAAGAAUGUAACCUAGGAGGGGGGGGGGGUAAAACCCUAGUUGGGAACCACCUCCAGGCCGAUUUACACUCACCUGCGACAACUUAGGGGGGUUGUGUGCUUGAUUUGCACAGUGCAACUCAAGUUGUAAGCAUGUUGUAUUGGACCAUCUGAUGCAAAUGACCAAUAUUUUUCAAUUGAUGUUUUUUUAUCACUUGAAAGUAAUUACUUUCAAUUACUGUCGAUGCAAUGGAAGUGUUGAUAAAAUAUUGCAUGAAUUCAUUUCCUCAAGUUGAUCAAUUCAUACGAAUUCAAAUUUCUUUUUACUUCCUGUGCGUUUCCUAUUGGCCAAUCGGUUCUGAAACGAAAUCUAAUUGGCUCAUCCAAAAGUAACAGGAAGUUGAUCAAUUUUGUAUCAAAUGAAUUGAUCAACUUUAGGAAAGGAAUUGGAGCAAUAUUUUAUCAACACUUCCAUUGCAAUCGACAGUAAAAGAAUGGAUUUGGACAAUUUUCAGAAAGUUUGGAGUAGGUUUGUGCACUUCUAGAAUUUUUCAAAAAUAUUGUGUGUUCCCCCCUUUUAAUUUGACCAAAAUAUUCCAAUUCAUGUUUUUAUCAUUUGGAAGUAAAUGUUUUGAUUAAGGGAACAGUUUUUGACCAAUUUUCAGAAGGUUCACAUUAUUUUCCUAAUUAUAGACUUGUAAUUGUGUGACAUAAUGACAUAGUUCUAGUUUGUGUUCUUCUAACCAUCCUUGAACUUUUGUUCAAGCCUAGUGACUUAUUUCAGUACAUGAAAAUCAUCCCACCUUUCAUCCUGUCCCUUAGCCAGCCAUUAAGUUGAUUUUCACCCUAAUUUACCUACUUAUAUUGUUUAACUCUGUCUAACGUCAGACAAUUUUAUUAAGCAGGGGGUCCACUAAGCAGUUAAUGGGUAACUAGGCACAUGGGCAGUCUCAUUAUGAAGCAUAAAAUUGUCUGGCAUUGGACAGUAAAAUACUCAAGUAAAGCAUGCAUCAGGGCACAGUACAACGAUUUAAUUUUUUUGUAGCAAAAGUUUUAUAUCUGAAUUAAUUAUUGAUUUUUUGCUUUGUUUUACAGAUCAUUACUGAACAUGCUAUGAAAUAUUGAUUUAUAAAAUAUCGUGUUACCAAGAUGAUAUGCCUCGAGGAGCAAUACAGGAGGAAAUACCUCUAUUUCUGAUCAAAUUACAACAAUACACCAAAGACAGUAGUUAUGAUCAUGAAGCUAUGAAUUUAAAGAAAAUGUACCAAACGACAAAGACGAUGAUGAAAUUGGAUGCCUCGGAUGAAAUGAAAUGAAAGGGGUCAGCAGUCGAUAUUUGUGACCAUACUAAAUGGCUACAAAGAAACUAUGAUGGAUAUACAAAGGUCACAGAAAUGUCUACUUUCAGGUACUGUUCUUUCUUGUUUGCCUGCGAACAGGCUGUAGAUAUGUAGAUAUUGUACCCAGGUCAUUGUUUGUUUUGUUGUUCUGGAUACAAUGAAAUCCGGCAUAAAUCCUGGCGGUAUAAAUGUUUAGUAUAUUUACACAUUCGAUCUAUUUUCUGUUCAGUAGACUUUGAUAGCUUGAAUGAAAGUUUACGAUGAUUUUCUUUGCAAAAACUGUACUUUCGGAAUUCAUCAGCUUCUGAAUUUGAAAACGGAUCUGAAAAGAGCACAUUUGAGUGUAUGGUUAUUGCAUAGUUCUAAUGAUUCGUUUAUGUUACCAUUGUUUCCCUCUGUGUAAAUAUACUGCCUUGGUGCACACACAUUACAGGCGCAGCAACGCAACAGUUUAGACAGGGUCAUGAGGCAGG